rnacentral:misc_RNA from 1 species
AGUUUGAUUAUGGCUCAGAUUGAACGCUGGCGGGAUGCUUUACAUGCAAGUCAGACAGCGGCACGGACUUCGGUCUGGUGGCGAGUGGCCGAACGGGUGAGUAAUGUAUCGGAACGUGCUUGCUGGCUGGCAGGGGAUAACUACGCGGCGUAGCUAAUACCGCAUACGCCCUUCGAGGAAAGCGGGGGACCUUCGGGCCUCGCACUAUUAGAAGCAACCGAUAUCGGAUUAGCUAGUUGGUGGGGUAACGGCUCACCAAGGCGACGAUCCGUAGCUGGUUUGAGAGGACGACCAGCUA